UACGAAGGGGGCUAGCGUUACUCGGAUUGACUGGGCGUAAAGGGCGCGUAGGCGGCUUGUACAGUCCGACGUGAAAUUCCUGGGCUCAACCUGGGGGCUGCGUUUGAUACGUGCGGGCUUGAGUUCGGAAGAGGGUCGUGGAAUUCCCAGUGUAGAGGUGAAAUUCGUAGAUAUUGGGAAGAACACCGGUGGCGAAGGCGGCGACCUGGUCCGAUACUGACGCUGAGGCGCGAAAGCGUGGGGAGCAAACAGG
rnacentral:rRNA from 1 species